AUUUAAGACUAUGUCCUCUUGUUGUGGUAGUUUUCUUCUUUUAAAUAUAGUCUCCUCCUUUACUGUGUUGAUUCCCUUUAUGUAUUUAAAUGUUUCUAUCAUAUCCCCCCUGUCUCGUCUUUCCUCCAAGCUAUACAUGUUAAGAUCCUUUAACCUUUCCUGGUAAGUUUUAUCACGCAAUCCAUGAACCAGUUUAGUAGCCCUUCUCUGAACCCUCUCUAAGGUAUCAAUAUCCUUCUGAA